UACGUAGGCAGCAAGCGUUGUUCGGAGUUACUGGGCGUAAAGGGUGUGUAGGCGGUUGUUUAAGUUUGGUGUGAAAUCUCCCGGCUCAACUGGGAGGGUGCGCCGAAUACUGAAUGACUAGAGUGCGGGAGAGGUGAGUGGAAUUCCUGGUGUAGCGGUGAAAUGCGUAGAUAUCAGGAGGAACACCGGUGGUGUAGACGGCUCACUGGACCGUAACUGACGCUGAGACACGAAAGCGUGGGUAGCAAACAGG
rnacentral:rRNA from 1 species